rnacentral:misc_RNA from 1 species
CAGCAAUAUUGUGUAGUGUUUCUCAAUAUCUAUAAUUGAUUAUGAAAGAUGUUUUAAACAAUAUAUUAUGCCUAAAUUACAAAUGUUUCUAUCCAAAUAAUGAAAUAUCUUUCCAAAUUGAUGAAUUUCAUUCAAUAUUUAAAAAUAAAACAGUUUCUAUUGUAUGUAAAGUAGAAGACUACUUUACGUUUUUACUCCGUCUCAAGGGCAAUGCACUGUGGGUACGAUUUGUGUAUGGCGCAUGCGCACAUCAGUUUACAGUUGGAUUUUGGCAGAAAAUGGCGUCAGCGAAGUUCUUGGAGGAAGCUCUCAGCACAGACGUGGAUGAGUCGGCAGUGAACGCUUUAGUUGGUUCUCUUGAAGAUCAGUUGGUUACAACAGCUCCUAAUGCUUCUAAUCCACAAGCAACUUCUGUUACAGUGAAUCAAAAUCAUAUGACCAGCUCUAUUUCAAAUGGGGGCACAGUAACUACUCAGAAACAUGGUGUAUCUAACGGUGGGUCAGACUCUAUGAAUAUUAUUUUAAACAAUGACGCGAAUAAAGUUUUACCUAGUGCUUCUCAUCAAAGUUCGAACACUUUACCUACGAGUGUCGUGAAUACAGUUGUUGCUUCGUUACAUGGUGGUGUUACGUCUAGUGGUUUUCUCAAUCAAGUGACUUCUAAUAUAGGCUUAGUUCAGCCUAAUCUAACUAAUGUUAACAAACCACAAGAAAAUGUUAAAUUAGUGUUCCCAUCAAAUAGUCAAGCUGUGACAACAAGUGUAGGUGUUAACAUAAACAAUAGAGUAACUUACGCAAAUCAAACAACUUCCCUCCCAAAUGGUAGUAUAGGCAUAACACAUAGUGGCUUGAAUGUUACAUCAACUAAUGUACAGAGCAUUGUUACACAGAGUUAUUCACAAGCUGGUAGCAAUGCAAAUAAACAGGUAGGAAGUGUAGUUGGCAUGGACCAGAAUAAACCGACUGGAACGGCAUUAGUAAUAAAAUCUAGUGGAAAUUCUCAUGGGACGCAAGGUGCUCAGAUGACAACUGGCGUUGUUCCUGUUUCGAUGACAGUUAAUUCUACAAUGACUCUGACUGGAUCUCAUGCCGUUAAUACGGCUAUAAAUACCACCACGUCUUCUGGAGUACCUGGCGUUGUUACGUUAGCCAAGCCCAUCAAUCAGUCUGUAGGUACACAGCAGACAAUCGUUGGAAAUAAUCCUACAUUAAUUCCGACCAAUGUCCAAAUACUCAAUGUGAAUGCUAUUCGAGCUGCCGCCCCAGGACAGGCGGGGCAAAAGACAUUGCCAUCAAGGGUUAUGAUAGGCCCUCAGAUGGUUAGUGCCAGACCUGGCCAACCAGGACAGAUCACGUUGCAAGCACUGCAAGGCCUGCAGCCGGGCACUCAAGGUCAUCUGCUGGUCAAGACUGAGAACGGCCAGUAUCAGCUGUUACGGGUGGCCGGCACUACGCAGACGCAGACGGCCGCCAUAGCGCCAAACAACGCCGCCGGAACUGCCUUUCGCAUGCAACAUGUCCCUGCUGCGGGAGGUGCCGCAGCAGGGACUAUUCAUACCCAGGUGCCGGCUUUGGCUGCUACAACCACCACCACUACCACACCAACCGUUGUUACACAGCAGCAGCAGCAGCAGACCCAACAACAACAGCAGCAGACGACACAGCAACAGCAGACGACGCAGCAGCAACAACAGCAGACGACAACAGGAGGCGUGGCCAGCCAACAGCAACGACACGGCGUCGACACGACCAAGGAGAAAUGCCGCAAGUUCCUGGCCAACCUGCUGGAGUUGUCGAGUCGCGAGCCGAAGGCGGUCGAGACCAAAGUGCGCACUCUCAUCCAGGAGCUCGUCGACACCAAGGUGGAACCGGAACAGUUCUGCGAUCGCCUCGAACGGCUGCUCAACGCCUCGCCGCAGCCUUGUCUUAUCGGCUUUCUCAAAAAAAGUCUACCACUACUUCGACAAUCAAUGGUGACGAAUGAACUGGUAAUAGAAGGAAUUCGGCCGCCUCCUCGCAAUGUAGUAUUCUCAAUAGCAUCGACAACACCAACCAUCGUUCAACCACAACAAGUUCAGACAAGUCAAUCGACGGUAGCAAUGACGACGAGCGUUCGACCACAAGUACAAAUGAACACAACACCACAGAUGAGGGUGAUCACUCACCCGAACACCACCCCUGUCUCCACCCCCACUCGACCAACUCAGCAGAUCCAGCAUCGCAUCGUUACUCCAAUGCGGGUUCCGUCGCCGGUCACGACAAAGGUGAUGAACGCCGUGUCGACGGGGGGCGUGAGGGGGGUGGGCACGAGUGUGGGGAUAGGGGUGGGGACCGGGGGGCCGACAACACCUCAAGUGGUGCGUGUGCAGACGACACCCGUACGCGCAAACGCACCCACAACCACCACCAUCAUCAAGACGCCGAGCGUCGCUGCAGCGCUGCAUCUCAAACAGCAGCAGCAGCAGAGUCAUGCGGCUGCUUUGCUCGCGGCAAAGGCGGCGGCAGCAGCGGGGGGCAGCAUAGGGGUGGGGGUGGGAACGGGGGGACUGGCCGCCUCUCGGUUAACGACGACAUCGAUUGUGACGUCAGCCGCCUCCAAGGCUCCCUCCUUCCUCCUCAAGGCGGUCACCGCCUCCGCCGCCGCCAAAGACAAGGAGAAAAAAUCGUUCGCCUCGGCCGGGGGCGGGGGAGGCGGUGGAUACACGGGUGAUGACGACAUCAAUGACGUGGCGGCGAUGGGAGGUGUGAACCUGGCCGAGGAGACGCAGAGGAUAUUGGGCUCCACCGAACUCAUUGGCACCCAAAUCAGAUCCUGUAAAGACGACCUCUACCUGCACGCUUCACCUCUUAUGCACAAAAUUUGUCAAAUAGCUUCUCGACAUGGCCUUGAUGACCCUACCUCGGACGUGGCGUCCCUAGUAUCGCAUGCGACACAGGAGAGGCUAAAAACACUUGUAGAAAAACUGGCUGUGAUAGCUGAACAUAGGAUAGACUUCAAUAAGGCGGAUAGCCAGUACGAGGUGACACAGGACGUGCGCGGGCAGCUGAAGUUGCUGGAGGAGUUGGACAAGGCGGAGCGAAAACGGCACGAGGAGCAGGAGAGGGAGUUGCUGCUCAGGGCGGCCAAAAGUCGCAGCAAGACAGAGGACCCCGAGCAGGCCAAGCUCAAGGCCAAAGCCAAAGAGAUGCAACGAGCCGAAAUGGAAGAGUUGCGACAAAGAGAAGCGAACCUUACGGCGCUGCAGGCUAUCGGCUCUCGAAAGAAACCAAAGCUCGAGUCAUCAGAUAUGCUGGCGAGUAGUGGGCAGUUGGCGAGCCGUCCGCGCUUAAAGCGAGUGAACCUUCGCGAUCUGCUCUUCCUGCUGGAACAGGAGAAGGAGUCGUGUCGGACGCCGCUGCUCUACAGGGCGCACCUCAAGUGAUGCAUGUCCUUCCCCCUCCCCCUUCCUCCUCCCACUCCUCACCCCCCACCACCACCACCACCACCAAACUCAGCCGACGCCGCCUAGGGACCAACUGCAGCAAACUGUCCAGUACUGACCUCGACAUAGACGUUACUGUUUCCAUAGUGCCUCCACGGUCUCACACAGUAUCGACUGGUGAGCCGUCAAUCUAAUUAACUAUCGAAUUAGUGUUGUAUUGCUGGUUCGAGACUUAACAUUGAAUAAUUUAUAUUGGUUACCCACAAGAAUUAUAGUUGAAUUAUAUUGUUGAGCAAAACUAGUGUGUGAUUGUAAUUGUAAGUUUUAGUAAAAAUGCAAAUUUGUCAUCCACGAUGUAAAUAAUUAUUUUUUAACGAUUGGAAGAAGAAUAUUUGAAAUAUUAUUCAAUUUGUACAUAGCGUAUUGUUUUAUAUCAUAAUGUUCCAUUUAGAUUAAUUUAAUAUAAAUAAAUUUUAUUUUUCAAUUGCCUACUUUGUUUUUAAUUUUUGAUUUUGAACUACUUUAUUGUUGGAUAAUACCAGAGACGGGUAGGUUCCCUACAACAAGGUUUCGAUCAUAAAUAUCUUACUAAUUCAACUCCAGGCUCCGUAUAGGUCUUAGUGAUGUCCUUCGAUGAGAACGUUACAUAAUAUUGGUACGGUAUUAGCGGGUUCCUCCUAGAUAGGAUUGCUACUGCUCAAUUCAUAGCAGAGUUUUAUUAUAUAAAAGUGCAGUAAACCUAAAAAUAUGAUGAACUAGAGUGGUAAAAUCAAUAUACUAGAUUAAAAAAUACAUUUUGUACGAAAUUUUAUAUUUGGGGAGCUUUAUUUGAGUAGGAUGGGGGGGGGUAAGUAAUCAUCCAACACCACCUCAAGAUAAUUGAAUUAUCAAUACUUUUAUCUAAUGAGAUGAAUCACUUUAUCAUGAUAAUAUCAAUAUUACCAAUUCCAGAAUUUAAGUUUACCAUAGCAAUUUAAAAUGGUGUAGUGUUUAAACAUUCUUUCAUUUGUAUCGGACAACAAUUUAUUCGAAAAACAACUUUCCUCUACAACUGUAAUAACUAUAGUGAAAUUCACGUUAUCAAGUCAAAACCUGAUUAAUAUUGGUUUGUUAUCUUUGUCUGUCAUUAGACAAUGGAAAUAAUUCUAUCCUUUUCCAUCUCUGCACAGUUUUCAAAUCGCUUGUAGGCUAUGAAGAAAUAUAAUUAACUACCUAAAUAUUCAAUCUCAAACAUGAUAAUUUAUUAUUGAAUUAUAAAUAUGAUAAUAUGUGAGAUAUUAACGACAAGAAUCAACAAAAUAAUAUCAGAUGUACCGGGAUUACUUGAACAUAACUACGCCUUGAAAUUACUUGAAUCACGCCUUGUAUGGAAGGCGUUAGAAAAAGAAAUUUGCUACUAUUCAAUCCAAUCAUUUACACUGAUUAAUGAUUCAAAUAACCUAUUCAAGAGGAUAACCUGAGUUCACAAAACAAAAUAGAAUAGUCCGUAAAAUCGACUCAGAAAAAUUCUCUCAGGUGGCAGACUACCCUAUUGAGUAGUAUGCAGUGAAGGAAAUAAUUGGAAUGAGGUACUAGCAUUAAACUCAUAGGAAAGGUCACGAAACUCAUGUUUCCCCCUAAAUGAAUUAGGGGUCAGCGGAAUUAUUUUCAUAAUUGAUUUAUUUGUGAAUCAAUAAGUUAAUAAUAUCAGUUAUAAGUUAUUAUAUCACUUGAGUAGUUCUCAGAUUCAUUCUUGAACUAAUAGUGAAUACGAUUCUGUCUUGAAUAAGCUUUUGUUUUAGUGAAAAAAUAAUGUCAGUUUCACUGGAUUGAUUGAAAUGCCUUGAAAAAUUCUUCCACUUUGCCACUCCAUUUCGUAUUGAAGUAACUUCCGAAUAGCUUCAAUAACAUAAUCAAUGGAUCUGAAAAUUGGCCUUUGAAAUUGUUGCAGAUAAAUUAUUCUCUACUUCUGUUGGUAUAUCGCAGUUCAUCCCUUUGAUAAUAGUUGUCGCAGUUGCUUCUCAGAUAUUAGAUCUGAUAAUAUCGUUUCAUUGUCUCUUUUCUUAUGGGAUACAUGACAUGUAGGAUAAUAUGAUCAAAUGUACAAAAAGGAAGAAUGCAAUGUCAUGUUGCUUCUUCUACAGUUGACUGUGGGCUAUAGUUUUCUGUUUCACUAAGAGAUUGUUAGCCUUACAGUCUCAACUGCUUUCCUAGUGGCUGUGUUUUGUUAAAAAUAAAGUUCAAAAUUUUCUCUAAGAACACAAACUUCUCAGUAUGUUUUCGAGAUUAUGAAAAAGCAAUAUCAGAACGGUUCCUUCUAGUAUCGAAUAAGGAUCAUUCAAAUGUAUCUACUUAAUAGAACCUUAAUUCAAUACAAAACUCAAACCAACUUUAUAACACACUGGUUGGUCAGUAGUCAAUUAAUGCGAUCGUAGAUGAUAAUUAAAUGUGUAUUGAUUAUUGUUAUCACUAUUGAAAAUAAUAGUCUCAGUACAUUGAUAUCGGGGAUUAUUUUAAUAUUUUAUUACGCAACUUGAUUGAAAACUUAUAUUCUCACACUUUAAAAACAAUAUUUUUCUUUAAAAAUUCUACUUUUUUGGAAGUGAAUAAAAUAUAAUUAUUAUUAUUAACAUUUCAUUUAAGUUACUAUUUGAAAUUUUCUUCUAUAAAUAUCAAUGAUUAGUAGAAUUUAAAUUUUAGAAUACAAUUUAUUGACAUAUCUUAUCAAAUUAUGUAUAGAGUAUAUAAAAUUAUUAUUUUGAAAUCGGAAUUUCAUUUUCAUUUUAAAAUUCUAUUGAUUCUCGAAUUGUAGCAUUUAAAAAAUAAUAAUUAUGUUAUGGGCUGAUAUCACUUCAUUCACUUAUAAUCUCAAUUUUUAGUCUAAUUUUCAAAUUUGUUAGUCUUUGAAUUAGUGAAUUGGUUCAGUGGGUUUUUUAUUUUGAAAAAUAUUCAAAUAUGAGCUCAUAUUUUAAGAGAUUCUCUUGUGAUAUGGUUUCUAUUCUUCAAUUAUCUUUCAUUUUCCAGUUUCUAUCUGUUGACUAAAUGGUUUCAAAUAUUUGUGAUGCAAAUGUUUUAUUAAACAUGUCUACUUCCCGUCUUAUUAAAUAUAAUCAACAAUUUAUUGUUACUAACACAAGUGCAAUUUGAUAGAUUUUGUACUGUUAAGUGUGAACGAACGAAUGCAGAUAAUAACGAUAAAAUGCGGAAUUGAAAACAUUGUGAAUCUUUAUAAUAAUAAAUGAAACAUGUAGUUGAUUUUAGAUAGAAAUAUUAGUCAAACAUUUUUUGUGAAUUUUCUAUUUAAGAUGGUGAGAAUUUGAUUACGUAUGUUUAAUUAAUGUGAAUAUUGUAAAUACAUAAUUGUCAUUUUGUAAAUGAACUCUUAAUAUAUUCGAGAAACAGCUAUUUUUAUGUACAGUGCAUAAAACAACACAAUAAUUAAUAAGUAUAAUGUUUUAAUAAUAAAAAAAUAGUAAAAACCUAAAUUUAUUAAGAAUAUUGUUAGCUUAUUAAAAAGGAUUGUGUUCAUCAGCGUUACGAUUAAUUAUAUGAGGAUAAGAUGUUUUCGAAAAAAAUUAUAAUUAUUUUCAACAACCCUUUGUUAUCCUUCCUUUGCAUGUUAUUUUUCUUUGUAAAUUUGUGUCUAUAGAAAUGUGUCUGGCUUUUGUUAUACUGCUGUACUUCAUUGAACUGUUGAAAACAGUCACUUUGUUUUUGGGAAACAGAGUUGUUAGUUGUGGUGAUGAUAAUUAUUAUUAUUAUUCUGCUUGUUUGAAUAAACCACUUUCAAAAGU